AGUAGAUAUAGAAAAGCUUCCCUAUGAAAAGUAAGCAUGCAUUUGCAGGAAUUUAGUGUAAGAUCAACCAAACAUAUUUCACACAUCCUUGAGAAACUAACUAGCGUAGAACAGUGCAAGGAAUAGUGUUUUAUCAGCAAGAAGAUGCAGUCAUUCGUUAUUAAUUAGUCUCCCUGUUGUAAUUUGUUCCAGGUUGAUGUAUGGAACGUCAUUUAUAGCUAUUUUUGUUUUCAGGUAUGCCUUAAUUUGUUAUAUUAAUUUUUCAUUUCUUUACGUGUUUAUGUUACUUAGGAGCCAAUUUUCUUUUCAGCUCUG
rnacentral:misc_RNA from 1 species